rnacentral:rRNA from 1 species
CCGUAGGUGAACCUGCGGAAGGAUCAUUACCGAUGUUAAUUUGUCUGCCUUCAGUGCUGGCUCUGUAAUAAGAGCAUGUGCACGUUGGUGGGCAUUUAUAUCGAACACCCAUUUGUGCACCCUUGCCUCUGCUGGCUUCGGCUGGCAGAGGAUUUUUUACACCCACACUCAUGUAAUGAAUAAUAAUGUUGUGCUAAGCACUACAAAUGUACAACUUUCAACAACGGAUCUCUUGGCUCUCGCAUCGAUGAAGAACGCAGCGAAAUGCGAUAAGUAAUGUGAAUUGCAGAAUUCAGUGAAUCAUCGAAUCUUUGAACGCACCUUGCACCCUUUGGUAUUCCAAAGGGUAUGCUCGUUUGAGUGUCAUUAUACUCUCACACUCUUUAAUUUAUUAGAGAGCGGUGGAAUUGGGUGUUGCCUGGUACUUGCUGUCAGGCUCAUCUCAAAUGCGUUAGUGCGACUGCUAGUUGGACAUAGUACGGCGUGAUAAAUAAACCCUCGCUGUUUUCUGUCUCAUUAGCGGCUCUGUGCUUCAAACCGUCUUCGGACAAUCUCUGAUAACU